GCGGGCGUGCCCGAGGGGCCCAAGGGAACUGCCUUCCAAGCAGCAAAGCCGUCGGUUCGAUUCCGACCGCCCGCUCCA
rnacentral:tRNA from 1 species